UACGUAGGGGGCAAGCGUUAUCCGGAUUUACUGGGUGUAAAGGGGGCGCAGACGGCGAUGCAAGCCAGGAGUGAAAGCCCGGGGCCCAACCCCGGGACUGCUUUUGGAACUGCGUGGCUGGAGUGCAGGAGGGGCAGGCGGAAUUCCUGGUGUAGCGGUGAAAUGCGUAGAUAUCAGGAGGAACACCGGUGGCGAAGGCGGCCUGCUGGACUGCAACUGACGUUGAGGCCCGAAAGCGUGGGGAGCGAACAGG
rnacentral:rRNA from 1 species